rnacentral:rRNA from 1 species
UACAGAGGUCUCAAGCGUUGUUCGGAUUCAUUGGGUUUAAAGGGUGCGUAGGUGGAUUGAUAAGUCAGUGGUGAAAUCUCCAGGCUUAACCUGGAAACUGCCAUUGAUACUGUCAAUCUUGAAUAUGUUUGAUGUGGGCGGAAUAUGACAUGUAGCGGUGAAAUGCUUAGAUAUGUCAUAGAACACCGAUUGCGAAGGCAGCUCACAAAGCCAUUAUUGACACUGAGGCACGAAAGUGUGGGGAUCAAACAGG